GACGAACGCUGGCGGCGUGCUUAACACAUGCAAGUCGAACGAAGUGGCGAACGUGUGAGUAACGCGUAAUCAACCUGCCCUUCAGAGGGGGACAACAGUUGGAAACGACUGCUAAUACCGCAUACUGAAGGAGUGGAUUCCGUCUAACUAGCUAGUUGGGGGGGUAACGGCCCACCAAGGCGAUGAUCAGUAGCCGGUCUGAGAGGAGGAACGGCAACAUUGGGACUGGGAGACGGACCAGACGACUACGGGAGGCAGCAGUUGGGAAGCUUCCGCAAUGGACGAAAGUCGGACGGAGCAACGCCGCGGGAGUGAUGACGGCCUUCGGGUUGUAUAGAUCGGUUGGUAAGGAAGCGGUACUUAACGAGAAAGGGACGGCUAACUACGUGCCAGCAGCCGCGGUAAUAC
rnacentral:rRNA from 1 species